rnacentral:tRNA from 1 species
UGGCUCAGUUGGUAGAGCAUGGCACUUGCAAUGCCAGGGUUGUGGGUUCAAUUUCCAC